rnacentral:tRNA from 1 species
GGGAAGGUGGCUCAGUGGUAAAGUGCUUGCCUUGCAAGCAUGAGGCCCUGGGUUCGAUUCCUCAGCCCCCCUU